rnacentral:lncRNA from 1 species
ACCAUUACGACGAAGAAGAAGCAGCCGCAGCGCGUCCGCGUCGUCGUCGUCUCCACCAUCGUCGUCUCCACCAUCUUUGUCUUCUCCAUCUUCGUCUCCACCAUCGUCGUCGUCGUCGUCGUCGACGAUGUCUGUGGUGGGUGGGUUGGAGUGCGUGGUGUGCGUGGGGUGCUCGCGCUGGGCGUGGAAGCGCCUCAACUACGUCGGGGCCUACGACAGCGAGUCGUGGCUCCUGUCCUCGCCCGCGCGCCACGGCCCCUGUCCUCGCCCGCGCGCCGCAUGCGCCAUGCGCGCCCGCGCAAAGCGUG